UACGAAGGGAGCUAGCGUUGUUCGGAAUCACUGGGCGUAAAGUGCACGUAGGCGGAUGUGUCAGUCAGGGGUGAAAUCCUGGAGCUCAACUCCAGAACUGCCUUUGAUACUGAGAAGCUUGAGUCCGGGAGAGGUGAGUUGAACUGCGAGUGUAGAGGUGAAAUUCGUAGAUAUUCGCAAGAACACCAGUGGCGAAGGCGGCUCACUGGCCCGGUACUGACGCUGAGGUGCGAAAGCGUGGGGAGCAAACAGG
rnacentral:rRNA from 1 species